GGUGGGAUGGUGUUCCAACCUCCCCCACUCUGCGCACCGGGUGCAGCUAGAAUCGCACCGUUGAUUGGUGGGCGGGGCAGAUGCCUAUAUAGUUGGGCAAGGUUCGUCUUUGUUUCUCCCACUGUUGCUACAAUCGGCGGCUACAUGUUGGCUUGUGUGUUUGGUCGACUCGUCUGCGAUCUGUUGUUCUGAUGGCGUUGCCGGCUGCAGCUGGGGGUUGCUGUGGCGGGCGGCUUCCAUCUGGUCCUCACCUGCUGACCCGCUUCCUCCCGGGUUAGGCUGUGUUUCCACCCCUGGAUAAGCUACCUGCUAUUUAGCUUUUGAUUUCUUUUAACUGGAUCCAUCGUUAAUGGGUUUUCUGUUUCAGGCACCUGAUUGCGUUUGGAGCUGCAGCGCUUUGGACGCUCUGCUGUCUUGUCUUGUCUUCCCGUUGUUUUGGCCGCUCUCAACUAAACCUGUUGCGGAUUGGGCAGGCUGUGUGCGCGGGGCAUUACUCCUCUGGCCCCAUCGAAGGGCAUUUGGAAGCGGAUGACAACGAUUUGUUCCAUUGUUUUCUUUUAGUUUUGUUUUGAUUGAAGUUACUAAUUUGUUUUUGUUUUUUACUAAUUUCUUCUGCAUUGCGUGUUAUUUCUUUUGGAAUAAUUGAACUUGUCUGUCCUGUUUCCUUUUCUGUUCCUUUUGUUCCAGGGACAGAGUAGUGGGCCUGAAGCCUCGUUUUUAA